rnacentral:lncRNA from 1 species
AAUGAAUCUUGUGCCAUUAAUUUUGUAGGGUAUUAUUUUUCUACAAUUUAUAGUAUGAGUUUUAAUUUUUCGUACAUGAAAGUCACCUCAUUAUCUCCAUUUUCCGGAUGGUUGCCAAAAUUGGCUGGUGCUCAGUUGGUCGGUGCUAGGUAAGGCCAACCUUAUUAAUUAUCGCCGACAUUGCUGCUGGCAGUUGAGAUCUCAUUUUUGUGAUGAACUUUCAUCUAAUAUUAUUAUAAAUGAAUAUCAGUUUAAAAUUGAAGUAAUAUUGUAUUAAUUUUUUAAUAAACAUUUACUAAAUUUUUAGAAUAAUCAAUGCAUGUUUUGAAUGGUAUUUUCUUGUAGUAAAACAAAUUUAUGCAGAUUUUAUUUUUUUCAUUUUUUGUGAGGGUAGGGAUGACAAAUUCUGGAUUUAAACCGUAUUUUUUCAAGCUCAGGCUCAAGUCCAUCAUGUUAUCGGUAAUAAGCACAAACUCUCUAAAAGUCCAUCCAAAACUUGGACGAGUUGGAUUUAGGUUGAGCCUGGUUGGGCUUGGGUUUCUAUUAACUUUUUAAACAAAUUUUUAAUAAAGUUAAAAGUUAAAAAAAAAAACAUUUAAAUUAAGAAUGAUUAUUCAAUAUAUAAAAUACUAACAACACAACAUAAUAAAUAACAAAGAAUGCUUAUAAAUUAUAAAUGAUAUUUUUUUUAAAUUUAUAAAAUUUUUGACAUAAGCCCUUAACUAGGUCAAUUCACAGCAAGUUUUAAAAUUUUUAACUCAUGUCUAUAGCCCACGAUAUGGGCAAGAUAUGAGACACUGUUCUUUGUCUCGGCUUGAAUGUAGUAUAGGAUCAUUAAAAAAGACUUAUGUAGAGAUCGGCCUGCCACCUAACACCCGUCAAAUGGCAGGUCCGAUAGGUUCUACAAUAGACCCGAAAAUAUGUGAGACUCGUAUCAUUUAAUUUAAGGAAAAUGAUAAACACACCCCUAACGUCUAAAAAAAUGAUAAAAACUCUCCUAACGUUUUAAAAAAGAUAUUUACACCCCCAUUCACUAACGGAAACAGUAACUUUUAACAGAAAUUACCAUUAUACACUUCUAGUAUAUAAAAAAAAUUAUUGAUUAUCCAAUUUGUCCAUAUAUUAUUAAUAAAAUUAUAAGUAUACCCUCAUUACUCAAUUCCUCUAUUUAAAUUUUUAUUAAAUUCCCUCUUCAAGCCAAAUAAAUUUAAUUCAUUACUCAAGAAUAAAAAUAAAUAAAAUUGGUUAUUAAUGUUAACUUGUAUUUCAAUUAAUACCAUAAUAAAUAACAUAAAAUUAGUUAUAAAUACACAAGUUUAAAUGAUAACAUGUGGAGAAUUGUUAAAUAUACAAGUUUAAAAUUUAAAUAAAAUUUUAUGGUAUUAAUACCACAAGUUAAAAUUUAUAUAAAUUUUUUAUAUGUUAGAAGGGUAUAGCGGUAAUUUCUGUUAAAAGUUACUAUUUCCGUUAGUGAAUGGGAGUGUAAAUGUCUUUUUUAAAAUGUUAGGAAAAUUUUUGUCCCUUUAUCUAGACGUUGGCGGUAUGUUUGUCCUUUUCUCUUUAAUUUAUAAGUCCCACUUUUAGGAGCCAUCAAAUGUGCCGACAUACUGAGCUAAUGCGCCUGUUUCAAACACAUCUUAUGCGAAUACAAAAAUCCCCUCCCAUCAAUUUUUUUACCCACAAAUUUUUUUUUUUUUAAUUUUUAAAACCAACCCCAUAAAUCAACAUUACCUAUUCAGAAACUUCAGAUUAACAACAAACUGAAGCUAUAUAAUUGUCACAGCUUCAGUACCAAUUAGUUUGACUUUAAUUUUAGAAGAAUAUAUGAGGAAGUGGGGAUGGACGAAUCCUCUCUUGAUUUUAAUAAACUAUUCUCAUGUGAUCCGUUCCACAUGCACAGUCACUGCAGCUGACUUUAAAAUCUACGGCAAAAUAUAUCCUAGAAAUUCUUCCCAAUACACUAAAUUAAAUAAAAUAAUUAAACUCACGAGAGUUAAACUAUUUUAGAGAAAAAAAAUGUUCAGUACCAAAAUUUUCUUUUAACCUUUUAUUAAUUUAUUCAAGAUUUUACCUAGAUAUACAUAAUACAGAAUAUUUAACGAAGAGGGAGUGGCUAAUCUCAGAUCUAUCUCAGUUCAUUGCCAACUUUUUGGAAGGAAGAAUAAAUUUAUCAUAAUAAUUAAAAUUUAAUUUUUUUAAAAAAACUUCUAUAUUAUAAUAAUAAUAAGAAGAAGAAGAAGAAGAAGAUCGGCUAAUACUAGGGAAAAAAAGGUUAAUUAAUUACAUAUUGCCCCUAAAUAACAACAAUGUUUUUGCAGUUUUUAAUAUAUAUAUAUAUAUAAACUAUUUUCUUCACUAAGUUAGAAGCAGUUCAGCAAACAUAAGACAUAUACUCGAUGGAAGAGCCUCUACUAUGACUUGUUGGGGGCCUAUUUAAUCGUCAGAACUCAGAAAGCUUUAUAUUUCAAUCGACAGUAUAUGAAACGAACGUUAAAUGAGUUUUAAAAGAAAUACAAGGAAAAAAAAAUAUGCUCAUUUGACUCUGGAAAAUAACAUAUAUAUGCAAGAAAUGAAAACCAAAUCAUCAGUGAUUAAUUUUAACGUACCUUUUUUAAUUCAUGGGAUUCCAAAAAAUGAUCCGAAUUUAAUUAUCCCGCCCGCAUGCAGAAGAAAUAAUGAAGAGAAAUGAGGUGCUGGUCUGGUGAUAAUGCCGUAAUAUUGGUAAUGGUGUUUGAUCCAAAGAAAGUCACCACGAGCUGGAAGAGAUGAACAGAAGCUCAUUAAAAUAUUUAUAAUAUGUAUUUAAUGCGAAACUUCAAAGUCGU